AAAGCAGGCAAAAAAAGGGCGAAGGAAAGUGAAAAUUAGGUUGUUGUUGUCGAGCAAAAACCUUUUUUUUCAUAGGAAAUUAGAAGCCAUUUAUAUUAACACAAAGACGAGGAGAAAGCAAAAAACUUAUUCCCCAGGAGUCAAACACAGGGAAUGAAUUGGGAGUUCAACUCAGUGUAACGAAUGGACUUUUUGCCUUCCUCUUUUCAUCCUCAUCAUUUUCCUCCCAUUUCAACAUCAACAUCAUCAUCAUCUAUUAUAAAAUGCACAAGCAACAUUCAUUUCCAUGUUAAUCAAGUUUCCAUCAUUAUUAAUUUUCAAUUUCAUUUCCUGUUAAUUUUAAAACAAUUUUCAUGAAAGGAUACAUUCAACACCAGCUAAAUUGGAAUCAAAAAAGGGUUGUAUUGCCAUUCAUUAUGCAAAAAGUAUCCAAGUAAACAAGAAAAUCUUUUACCUCAAUCUUAGCAAUUUUCAAUCUCAAGCCUAAAAAAGACUGUUGAAUGUAAAAUGAAAUUCAACUUUUUAUCCAAAUCUUUUUAAUCCUGUUAAAUCUAACUUCAUCUUCUGGACCCAAUUUAUUAUCAAUUUUACUCUUAAAUAUAUUUGAAAUAAAUAUAUACAUGAGAGGUAAAAAAAGCUGAGAAGGUAACAAUAGAGAGAAAGAAGGAAAAGAUUUCUUGUUUAUUUUGAUGCACAGAAUAAGAGAAAAAAAAGAACCGGACAAAAAUUCAUUCUUAUGUCAAUUCCAGGAGCAACAACAUCAUCCUCAUCUUCAUAUCUUCAUCUCCUUAAGGCUUCAAGAAGAUUUCCAUUGGUCUUCAAAAGUUUCAAGCAAAAAAAACCAAGUCAAACCAAAGGAGCAAAAAGGAUGAAAAGUUUCUUUCCUCAACGAAUACAUUUGACUAACUUUAAGGAGCAAAAAUUCAGUUUCAUAUAUUACAUUUUUUCUCCCUCUUCUUCAGCUCAGGUAUAUUCUUACUCUGAUUGUUAUUAGGCUGCAUAAAUUUUCCUUGAGGGAUUUGUUUGUUUAUUUGUUUAUUUCAUCUCAUUCUUUGAGUUUUGUAGUAAUGUUUCUCUCUCUGUGUGUUUUAGUCAAUAGGAACAGUUUUUAUGUACAUUUUUGCUUCUUAAAUAAACCUCACUUGACAGGGUCAAAGGUAAAAAGAUCAAAUUAUUCAUUGAAUUGUAUGUAAAAAUGUAGACAGUAAAAAAGGCCUCUAGGUAUUAGUUACUAGCAAUGAAAUAUUUUAUUCAAAACUAUUAUCUCUUUUGGGUUUUACCAGCAACAACCAGAAUAGAGUAAAAAGCUGAUCACAAAUUGAUUGAUUAAAACAAUUGUCAAAUGAUAA